rnacentral:rRNA from 1 species
GGGUUGUGAGGUUAAGCGACUAAGCGUACACGGUGGAUGCCCUGGCAGUCAGAGGCGAUGAAGGACGUGCUAAUCUGCGAUAAGCGUCGGUAAGGUGAUAUGAACCGUUAUAACCGGCGAUUUCCGAAUGGGGAAACCCAGUGUGAUUCGUCACACUAUCAUUAACUGAAUCCAUAGGUUAAUGAGGCGAACCGGGGGAACUGAAACAUCUAAGUACCCCGAGGAAAAGAAAUCAACCGAGAUUCCCCCAGUAGCGGCGAGCGAACGGGGAGCAGCCCAGAGCCUGAAUCAGUGUGUGUGUUAGUGGAAGCGUCUGGAAAGGCGCGCGAUACAGGGUGACAGCCCCGUACACAAAAAUGCACAUACUGUGAGCUCGAUGAGUAGGGCGGGACACGUGGUAUCCUGUCUGAAUAUGGGGGGACCAUCCUCCAAGGCUAAAUACUCCUGACUGACCGAUAGUGAACCAGUACCGUGAGGGAAAGGCGAAAAGAACCCCGGCGAGGGGAGUGAAAAAGAACCUGAAACCGUGUACGUACAAGCAGUGGGAGCCUCUUUAUGGGGUGACUGCGUACCUUUUGUAUAAUGGGUCAGCGACUUAUAUUCUGUAGCAAGGUUAACCGAAUAGGGGAGCCGAAGGGAAACCGAGUCUUAACUGGGCGUUAAGUUGCAGGGUAUAGACCCGAAACCCGGUGAUCUAGCCAUGGGCAGGUUGAAGGUUGGGUAACACUAACUGGAGGACCGAACCGACUAAUGUUGAAAAAUUAGCGGAUGACUUGUGGCUGGGGGUGAAAGGCCAAUCAAACCGGGAGAUAGCUGGUUCUCCCCGAAAGCUAUUUAGGUAGCGCCUCGUGAAUUCAUCUCCGGGGGUAGAGCACUGUUUCGGCAAGGGGGUCAUCCCGACUUACCAACCCGAUGCAAACUGCGAAUACCGGAGAAUGUUAUCACGGGAGACACACGGCGGGUGCUAACGUCCGUCGUGAAGAGGGAAACAACCCAGACCGCCAGCUAAGGUCCCAAAGUCAUGGUUAAGUGGGAAACGAUGUGGGAAGGCCCAGACAGCCAGGAUGUUGGCUUAGAAGCAGCCAUCAUUUAAAGAAAGCGUAAUAGCUCACUGGUCGAGUCGGCCUGCGCGGAAGAUGUAACGGGGCUAAACCAUGCACCGAAGCUGCGGCAGCGACGCUUAUGCGUUGUUGGGUAGGGGAGCGUUCUGUAAGCCUGUGAAGGUGUACUGUGAGGUAUGCUGGAGGUAUCAGAAGUGCGAAUGCUGACAUAAGUAACGAUAAAGCGGGUGAAAAGCCCGCUCGCCGGAAGACCAAGGGUUCCUGUCCAACGUUAAUCGGGGCAGGGUGAGUCGACCCCUAAGGCGAGGCCGAAAGGCGUAGUCGAUGGGAAACAGGUUAAUAUUCCUGUACUUGGUGUUACUGCGAAGGGGGGACGGAGAAGGCUAUGUUGGCCGGGCGACGGUUGUCCCGGUUUAAGCGUGUAGGCUGGUUUUCCAGGCAAAUCCGGAAAAUCAAGGCUGAGGCGUGAUGACGAGGCACUACGGUGCUGAAGCAACAAAUGCCCUGCUUCCAGGAAAAGCCUCUAAGCAUCAGGUAACAUCAAAUCGUACCCCAAACCGACACAGGUGGUCAGGUAGAGAAUACCAAGGCGCUUGAGAGAACUCGGGUGAAGGAACUAGGCAAAAUGGUGCCGUAACUUCGGGAGAAGGCACGCUGAUAUGUAGGUGAAGUCCCUCGCGGAUGGAGCUGAAAUCAGUCGAAGAUACCAGCUGGCUGCAACUGUUUAUUAAAAACACAGCACUGUGCAAACACGAAAGUGGACGUAUACGGUGUGACGCCUGCCCGGUGCCGGAAGGUUAAUUGAUGGGGUUAGCGCAAGCGAAGCUCUUGAUCGAAGCCCCGGUAAACGGCGGCCGUAACUAUAACGGUCCUAAGGUAGCGAAAUUCCUUGUCGGGUAAGUUCCGACCUGCACGAAUGGCGUAAUGAUGGCCAGGCUGUCUCCACCCGAGACUCAGUGAAAUUGAACUCGCUGUGAAGAUGCAGUGUACCCGCGGCAAGACGGAAAGACCCCGUGAACCUUUACUAUAGCUUGACACUGAACAUUGAGCCUUGAUGUGUAGGAUAGGUGGGAGGCUUUGAAGUGUGGACGCCAGUCUGCAUGGAGCCGACCUUGAAAUACCACCCUUUAAUGUUUGAUGUUCUAACGUUGACCCGUAAUCCGGGUUGCGGACAGUGUCUGGUGGGUAGUUUGACUGGGGCGGUCUCCUCCUAAAGAGUAACGGAGGAGCACGAAGGUUGGCUAAUCCUGGUCGGACAUCAGGAGGUUAGUGCAAUGGCAUAAGCCAGCUUGACUGCGAGCGUGACGGCGCGAGCAGGUGCGAAAGCAGGUCAUAGUGAUCCGGUGGUUCUGAAUGGAAGGGCCAUCGCUCAACGGAUAAAAGGUACUCCGGGGAUAACAGGCUGAUACCGCCCAAGAGUUCAUAUCGACGGCGGUGUUUGGCACCUCGAUGUCGGCUCAUCACAUCCUGGGGCUGAAGUAGGUCCCAAGGGUAUGGCUGUUCGCCAUUUAAAGUGGUACGCGAGCUGGGUUUAGAACGUCGUGAGACAGUUCGGUCCCUAUCUGCCGUGGGCGCUGGAGAACUGAGGGGGGCUGCUCCUAGUACGAGAGGACCGGAGUGGACGCAUCACUGGUGUUCGGGUUGUCAUGCCAAUGGCACUGCCCGGUAGCUAAAUGCGGAAGAGAUAAGUGCUGAAAGCAUCUAAGCACGAAACUUGCCCCGAGAUGAGUUCUCCCUGACUCCUUGAGAGUCCUGAAGGAACGUUGAAGACGACGACGUUGAUAGGCCGGGUGUGUAAGCGCAGCGAUGCGUUGAGCUAACCGGUACUAAUGAACCGUGAGGCUUAACCUUACAACGCCGAAG